GGUUAGGAAUGCCAUGGCUAAAAGAUAAGAGACAUAAAAUUUAAGACACAUGUGUGAACUUCAACUCACUGACUUGCCUGCAGUUUAAAUGCAUCCUGUUCCUUCCUGCUGUACCUGGAACCAUCCCAGAGGCUGUUCUGCCAAAGGAUGCUUCUCCUGCUAUAUCUUUACUGAUUGGAACCAUUGGCUCAGAGAAAAUGGGGUAUUUAAUCCACACUCAAGUGCAUGUAGAAGUACUAGAUUUUAUGUUUCUCAGGGCUUUGACAUCCAACAUAUUUCUCAUCUGUGGGGUGUGCUCAGAUCAGAGGUCCUUAACGGUAGCUUGAUAUUGCACAAUUUCAAUUCUGGGGAUUCCUGUUGGGGACAAAGAGAAGACAGACCCAUCACCAUGCUGCUGUCCAGGCACUAUCU
rnacentral:lncRNA from 1 species